rnacentral:rRNA from 1 species
UACGGAGGGGGCUAGCGUUGUUCGGAAUUACUGGGCGUAAAGCGCGCGUAGGCGGCUUUGUAAGUUAGAGGUGAAAGCCCGGAGCUCAACUCCGGAAUUGCCUUUAAGACUGCAUCGCUAGAACGUCGGAGAGGUGAGUGGAAUUCCGAGUGUAGAGGUGAAAUUCGUAGAUAUUCGCAAGAACACCAGUGGCGAAGGCGGCUCACUGGCCCGUUACUGACGCUGAGGCACGAAAGCGUGGGGAGCAAACAGG